rnacentral:misc_RNA from 1 species
AUAAACUAAGGGUAAAUUAUGAAUUGCAGACUUUAAUUGACUAAGUGUGUCAAAAUUUAUGCUUCCGUGUGAAACAGUCUCGGAUGCAGCAUCAGAGGAACUAAGUGUUUUACUUUUAGUUUCUCCAGUAGCUGUAUUUAUACAAAUUUCAUGUGGAACUGAUGGAGGACAACAUACAAGUUUGCCAGGAUAAGCUGGUGUAACUUUAGUUUUUUCUAUUAUUUUUCCACUAUUAGGUUCCAUUGGAAGAGGAUAACAUAAAUCACCAAUAGGAGGAAACCUACAAAUAAAAAUUUAAGAUGGAAAUUUCUAUAUACUUUCUGGUGUUACCAUUACUGUUACAAGGACUGGAGUUGCUCUCACUUUCUGAGUUGGAACAACCUGUUUGGAUAUUCUUUACAGUUGCAGCAUCCUUGAUUUCUUCUGCUGGCACAAAAUAUGUAGGUUUUGGUAAUUUUGUAGCUUUCACAACGACUUCGCUUUGAGUACAAGGAUUUGAACCUAAAAGUGAUAGAAUUUAAUGAAUAAUUUUAAAUAAAAGAAAUUAAACUACACCAUAAGCAUUAAUUUUUAUAAUUGAAUACCUUCUCCCAAACCUCCGCAUGUACAUCCUUGGCUUUGAGCCUGAAGUAUCAAGCACGCUAUUAUUAGGACGAAAAGAGCGCUCAACACUGAAGACUUCAUAUUAAUGACUUCCGUUCUGUCUCAUUCUUAAUUGUGAAGACUUUAUAUAUACGAAAAAAAUCUGAAUUCAAAGAUACUUUACGUAAUUCGAUAGCAUAUUGUAGUUCCUGUUAUUUUUAAAAACAUCCUAAAAACUUCCUGUAUUUUUAAAUGUGGAGUUAAAUUUCUUUUGUACAUAGAAAACAACUUGUUUAAGUUUUGAUAUAAACGUAAAUGAAUAUAUGCCUGUACUGGUUACAAUUUACAUUACAAUAUAAUAUGUUUAAUGAAUUGAAUGUUGGACGUGAUAAUUCGAUGAA